CAGCAUGUUUCAAGCCAUGAUCUGGAGUUAGUAUGUUAUUGACUCCU
ensembl:misc_RNA